GAUGAACGCUGGCGGCGUGCCUAAUACAUGCAAGUCGAGCGAACAGACGAGGAGCUUGCUCCUCUGACGUUAGCGGCGGACGGGUGAGUAACACGUGGAUAACCUACCUAUAAGACUGGGAUAACUUCGGGAAACCGGAGCUAAUACCGGAUAAUAUAUUGAACCGCAUGGUUCAAUAGUGAAAGACGGUUUUGCUGUCACUUAUAGAUGGAUCCGCGCCGCAUUAGCUAGUUGGUAAGGUAACGGCUUACCAAGGCAACGAUGCGUAGCCGACCUGAGAGGGUGAUGGGCCACACUGGAACUGAGACACGGUCCAGACUCCUACGGGAGGCAGCAGUAGGGAAUCUUCCGCAAUGGGGGAAAGCCUGACGGAGCAACGCCGCGUGAGUGAUGAAGGUCUUCGGAGCGUAAAACUCUGUUAUUAGGGAAGAACAAAUGUGUAAGUAACUAUGCACGUCUUGACGGUACCUAAUCAGAAAGCCACGGCUAACUACGUG
rnacentral:rRNA from 1 species